UACGUAGGGUGCAAGCGUUAAUCGGAAUUACUGGGCGUAAAGCGUGCGCAGGCGGUUUUGUAAGUCAGAUGUGAAAUCCCCGGGCUUAACCUGGGAACUGCGUUUGAAACUACAAGGCUAGAGUGUGGCAGAGGGGGGUGGAAUUCCACGUGUAGCAGUGAAAUGCGUAGAGAUGUGGAGGAACACCGAUGGCGAAGGCAGCCCCCUGGGUUAACACUGACGCUCAGGCACGAAAGCGUGGGGAUCAAACAGG
rnacentral:rRNA from 1 species